UACGGAGGAGGCAAGCGUUAUCCGGAAUCAUUGGGCGUAAAGGGCGCGUAGGUGGCCCGGUCAGCGUGCGGUGAAAGCUCGGGGCUCAACCCCGAGUCGGCCGUGCGAACUGCUGGGCUUGAGCACUGUAGAGGCAGGCGGAAUUCCGGGUGUAGCGGUGGAAUGCGUAGAGAUCCGGAAGAACACCGGUGGCGAAGGCGGCCUGCUGGGCAGUGGCUGACACUGAGGCGCGACAGCGUGGGGAGCAAACAGG
rnacentral:rRNA from 1 species